UACGGGGGGGGCAAGCGUUGUUCGGAAUUACUGGGCGUAAAGGGUCCGUAGGUGGCCAACUAAGUCAGACGUGAAAUCCCUCAGCUUAACUGGGGAACUGCGUCUGAGACUGGAUGGUUCGAGUGCAGGAGAGGAAUGCGGAAUUCCAGGUGUAGCGGUGAAAUGCGUAGAUAUCUGGAGGAACACCGGUGGCGAAGGCGGCAUUCUGGACUGCAACUGACACUGAACGACGAAAGCCAGGGGAGCAAACGGG
rnacentral:rRNA from 1 species